rnacentral:ncRNA from 1 species
CAGAGUAGGUAUUUGUGCGUCAAGUGUUAAGAGGACGGGAAGUUGUCUCUUAAACGAAAAACUCUAGCAGUUUGCGGUACAAAUAUUGCAUUCCGCUG